UCCAAAUAGUUGGAAGUCUAUUAAUUAACUUGAAAGCUUCAUCCUUUCAUAGCCCCCUCCCUGGAAGUAUUUUUAUGAAUAUUUGCAUAGCAUUUUUUAAAAAAAAGGGAAAAUGGUGUGGCAAUGUUAAAUUUUUCUUAAAGGAGCAUAAAAAUGUAUCCAAAAUAUUUUUCCCAACCACAUAGUUGCAUAGAAACCACAUGGUGCAUAGAAAAAGGACCAGAAAGAAAAAAAAAAACCUGAAAAUGUGCAAUGUGAAAAUCCCU
rnacentral:lncRNA from 1 species